ensembl:misc_RNA 7SK 7SK RNA
GGAUCUGAGAGAAUCUGUGACAUCUGUCAGCCCAUUGAUCAUCAGGGUUAAUUUGGCUGAUUUGGCUGGCUGAGGGGGGUGUCCUCUUCCUCCCUCACAGCUCCAUGUUCAUCCCUUCCAAAGCUGCAUGCUGUGUUAAGAGGAGGACCUUCCCCAAUAAAGAAGGAUCAUUCUUCAGUCAAGGGCAUAGGAGCAGCUGCGCUUGCCUGCUAGAACCUCCAAACAAGCUCUCAAGGUCCAUAUGUAGGAGAAGUUAGGGUAGUCAAGCUUCCCACACUUCAAACACAUCCAAAUAAGGCCUGCAUGUGGCAGUCUGCCUUU